CCCAUCUGGUAGAUAAUGUAUAUAUACAGUAUAUAUAGUAUAACUGUUCAUGGAGCAAUGAGUUUUAGUACAGGUCUGGUGCUGGUUUGUAUCACUGUGGAGGCGAGCACAAUAAUAGACAGCUUCAGUAUGCAGAUUCUGUCCUUUUAAAACAGCAUGUUGCUGGAAGUGCUGCUGGUGGUGCAGAACUUGUUUUUCAGUUCAUAAUUAUAAGCUAUGCUUCCACCACUUUAGUUAUAUCCAAUCCACUCCAGUUUUUUCCCUGCAGGCUGUCGAAUCUAAGCUGUAUGCAAUCUACUACUGAAUAUGAGACCUUACAGGAGACGGUUAGUGGUUGACCUGGCUGGACAGUCAUGGAGGCUGGCUGAACACUCACAGACAACAGCUGCCAGCAGCAGAGAUGCAGGGACAUGGUUUGUGGGGACAGGCACAACGGUUGGAGAUGCUCUUCUCUACUCUCCAGGACUCAGAGGGAUGUAUUUUGAUACACACAUAUGGAGCCUGUUUAUAUAAGGAAGAGGGAGAGACAGGGUUUAGAUUACAUUUGAAUAAUGACAAUCAGGUAUAAAGGACUGGGAAUAUCAGUGCAAAAUGGGGGGAAAAUGUGAUAAUGUGCCAGUUUUUAACACUACACUUAUGGGAGAUGAAACUGGAAUGGAUAAACACUGUUUCUUGUUAUUGGUAAUCCUACUGUCACACCAUGGUCGAAAUAUAUUAUGUUUAUUCUUCAUUUAUUCGGUCAGGCCAGGGUGUGACAUGGGUUAUUGUGGUGUGUUUUUGUCUUGGGGUUUUGUGGGAUGUCUAGCGUAGUUUAUGGCUGCCUGAGGCGGUUCUCAAUCAGAGUCAGGUGAUUAUUGUUGUCUCUGAUUGGGAACCAUAUUUAGGCAGCCAUAUUCUUUGAGUGUUGUCGUGGGUGAUUGUUCCUGUCUCUUCACCAGAUAGGACUGUUUAGGUUUUCACGUACCGUUUGUUGUUUUUGUAUUGUUCGAGUUUUUUCGUUCUUCAUUAAACAUGUCUCAAACAUA